UACCGUUACAGCUGGUAGCCCACAGUUGCGUGUAAAAGUUGAGCUGCAAACAGUAAAAAUAAGGCUCUUGGUUUCUGAUUUAAAAAUUUUACUCUACAGUUGAUCUAUAAAACAGAAAUCCGUGUUAACUUAAUUGUGUUUUAUUACUGAAAACAGGAGUUAUUAUCAUGCAGCAGCUGUCAUCGCAGGCGGUUCAGGGGCGGGGUUACACUUUCUUACGCCCAUAAAUUUGUUGGAGGAGGGGGUGUUUGUUUUUGUUUGUUUGUUUGGUUGGUUGGUUGAUCGGUUUUUCAUAUAUUUUAAUACUGGCGACAUUUUCUGGUUAUAAGAUAGCAUAUCAAAAUAUGCUAUCUGCACUUUUACAAUGAAAGCAUUUAUUAUUAUUAUUAUUAUUAUUAUUAUUAUUAUUAUUAUUAUUGUUGUUGUUGUUGUUGUUGUUGUUAUUGUUGUUUUUAUCACCAUUUUUAUAUUUUUGUCCAAAUUAUAGUACUGUAGUUCACAAGCCAUUCACAUGAACUCUGCUGUGUCAAUGUAGGUUCCUAAAUACUCUUAAAGGAUGAAAGCAAAGUAUUCUGGGACUGAUUUGGUAAACUGAAACCCAGUCAGCUCUGUGUCAAGUCUGUCACACCUACAGUUUGUUUAUUGUGUCACAGUGGGUGCAGUAUCAGGGACUUCCUGGCAUCCACACUAAAUUAUCCAGGGCUUUCUGUGGGAGCAGAAAUGGCUCAGUGUUCCCCAACAAAAAGGCCAUUGAGAGCCAGUGGAAGGCCUCCCAUGGGCACCCACGCUGCUGAACAUACUAAAUCGCUGCAGUGGAGAUAGAGAAACAGCUCCCUGCGGGAAAUGGCUGCAGCGGGAAACAAGUUUGGGCAGUAUCCAGGACUGAGGAGCCUGUGUGGGGGUCCAGACUGGAGCCAGACUGCUGAUUUCCCCCCUCCUAAGAGUGGGCAGGAAGUGCAAGAUGAGGAGAGGAAGAGGAGUGAAGUAUACAGAGAGGAAUGGGAUAUAGACCAGCAUGCAGCAGCACCCUGCUGCUCCAACCCAUCUUGUUUCAUGUGUUUAUAGCUGCGUGUUUAUCUCAUGCAUUUUAAUUCUAUUCAGGAAUAAAGAUAAGUGGAUACCUCAGAAUUCAGUAAUGUGUGAAUUCAGUCAGAACAUUUCUCGUCUAUUUUUCUGUUUAGUAUUGGGUGAUGUCGUUUAUAUAAUGAGUUUAUAACCGUUUCAGGGAGAACUAAGACAUAUGAAUGUUACAGGAGCCCUUAUGAUGUGAAACA